rnacentral:rRNA from 1 species
UACGUAGGGUGCAAGCGUUGUCCGGAAUUAUUGGGCGUAGAGAGCUCGUAGGCGGUCUGUCGCGUCUGCUGUGAAAACUCGGGGCUUAACCCCGGGCCUGCAGUGGGUACGGGCAGACUAGAGUGCGGUAGGGGAGACUGGAAUUCCUGGUGUAGCGGUGAAAUGCGCAGAUAUCAGGAGGAACACCGGUGGCGAAGGCGGGUCUCUGGGCCGUAACUGACGCUGAGGAGCGAAAGCAUGGGGAGCGAACAGG